GGGUGAGGGGGGUGCAAGGCGCCAGCUUUUGCUUUGUCUUCAGCCAGCCUCGUGCUCCCUCAUCACCUGCACAGCAUGUAGGAAGGUCUCAGUAGGUGGUGAAAUCUUCAGCCCUUUCUUUCAAGAGACAUUGCCCAGACAGAAUGCUCAUUUUAUUUAUUGCUUCAUUCACUCAACAAAUAUUUAUGGAGCACUGCCAGUUCGUGAGAAUCCAUAUUGGAUAUUAGGAAUUUAAAGACAGGUAAGACUCAGACUGAUUCCUCUAAUGGCUCACACCCUAGCAUGGAGACAGCAGGUGCCGUGAGUGGUAUCAUAGAGGUAGAAGUUAUAUAUUAUAGUCUGGGAGCAUAGAGGAGUGCAUAACUAAGAAUUCAUUUGAGAAAAGUUCAGAAAACACUCUGGAGGUGAUGGAAUUUGAGAUGAAGCUUAAAAGACUAGAUGCAAUGAAUUGAAGAUGGGACUGGAAUGGAAGAUGGGAAAAAGAUUCUUGGAUGUGAUUUCAAUUAAUGGACCUUGUAGGAAAUGGAAGCCAUUCAUAAGAUAGCUGAAUUAUCUCCAGACUUAAAAUUCUUUUGAAAGUUUUUAUUUUUAUUAUGUAUUUAUUCAGAAGAUGAGUUUAUUUUAAAAUAUAGAGAGAAACAAAACAGGAAACAUGGAGACAAGGAUAAAGAAUAAGAAGGAGCUGCCAGAAAAUUAUGAGGCAAAUGAACAAACAAAAAUGGGCCAGGACAACCAAGGGAGGAGAGUUUCAAGUAAAAGGUUGAUGAUAGCAGUGUCAUAUAUUAUAGAGGUCAGUUGGGAAUUUCUAUGUUCUAGGCAUGUUAUAAGCUCCUUAUAUGUACUAACUCAGUCAUCCAAGAACCCUUUGCUGUUUAAUCCUCUCAACAACCCCAUCUUACGGAUGAGGGAAAUGAAGUAGAAGGAAGUGAAGUGUUUUGUGUAAGAUCGCGCUGCUGGUAACAACCAACAGUAUAUUUUAAAAAAUCAUGGAGUUGAUGGGCCAACAGUUCCAAGAGUACAGCAUUGCUGUUCUUCAUCUCUUGAUUUCCUAGAGCAGCUCAGAUCUUCUCACUGAAAUACACCCAAGCAAGAGGAAAAUGAACAAGUCACACAGAAGUUGGGAAGAGAAAGACAGCUGUCAAUUAGCCUACAUCCAAAUCUGGGCUGAGGAGGAACAAAGAGCUGCCUGAAGAAAUGAGUAUCUGGAACAAACCACAGAGAUCAAGAUGGCCACUGGCCAAUGGAACCAGCUGCCUGGGUCCACAUUCACGAGCCCCCUCCAUGGGCACCACUGAGGUGCAGCGAGGACAGCAGAGCUGCUGGGCGCAGUCAUUACAACUUCAGGAAAGGGGAAGGAGAUCACUCUUCAGACAUGGUCCUCAUGCUUCUGUGCUCCUUCGUGGCCUUCUCCCAGUUCAUGUGGUUGAAUCCCUCAGCGACCACACUCCACACAGUGUCCUCCAGGCGGUGUGGGGCGAUUCCAGGGCCUCCAGGGUGGGAGCAGGGCAUGUAAGAGCUUUGAAGGACACCACUCUUAACAGAAGUGUGAUGAGAGAAAAACUCUCCGGAGACCUCAUACACAUGGGAAGCCGUUUUAUUUUUUUAUUUUAUU